GAUGGAUGGAUGGAUGGCUUUAUUUCUUGGUUUGUUAGUUUUUUUCUUUUCUUUCUUGUUUUGCUUUUUCUUUGCAUUUUUUAAAAAUGCUUUCAUAGACACCAUAUAUUCCCCUAUCCAUUUAGAAGAGGAUGUUUUGUUGUAAUCUGCUACCUGACCAUUACGUGCUGCUAAAUCCUACACAGUGUACUUUUAAUAUCUAUGGCAAUGUGUUGAUAAUACAUAGGGGAAAAAAUCUCAAAGGUUAAAAAAAUUUGGCCAAUAGCUGAUGUUUUAAUUGAUAGUUUACUUUGUUUGCUAUUCAGUAGCAACCUGAGGAUGUCAUCUUUCAAUCAAUGCAAAAUAAAUAUCGAGUGACAUUUUUAAAGCUUCAGAUACAUCCAUGACGGUGUGGAAAGCUUCACCUUAUCUACUUGACAUAAAACUACUUGACUUUGCCAGUGGUGGGUACAAACAGAGACUCCAAGUCUUCAGAGACUGUUAGUACAAUUACAUGAAGAUAACCUUAAUGCUAAGAUGUGUUCAGUCUGAGUGAGGAUUUUAAGACCUGGUCAAGGUGUAUUCCGGUGGCAUUCACAAAUCAGCAGAAGAAGCAGUCAGUCUGCCGCUCCUACAAAUGAGGUCUCAUUCCAUCAAAUAAAGCAUUUGUCUGGUCCUUAACUGGUUAUUGGGCUUGUGUGAAAUUCCACUCAGUUCUAGUUCCCAUAGUAACUCGCCCACCAAGGUGUCAAACACUUACAGGGGGGGAAAAAAACUGCAAGAUUCGGUAUGAUUUGGCUGUAAUUAGGCCCCCCACUCACACACAGAUCAAGUAAACAGGGUAAAAGUCUUCACGUCAGGUUUUCUGCCCUGAUGUCAAAAUCUGUGCAAUGAACACGAUUUUGUAAAGUGCUUAAUGAGAUCAAAUCAGCCACAAGAUAUCUUGUAGUGGUUUCUCUACAUUUGUUGUCUUGUGUUGUUGCGUGUAACUGUACAGCUGAUUGUCAAGUCUAUUUAAAUCAUUAUCUGAAUAAUGAUGUUUGUGUACCAUAAUGUACAGACUGUGACUCCUGAAAAUAGUGUGUGUGGGGGUGUUUUGGGUAUCUAUAAAUAUGUGUGCGAGAGGGUGUGUGUGCACAAGCUAACGACUGCAUUUACAUAGCACCAAGCAUACUCCGAAUUUUAACCCUUUAUGGCACAUGAAAAAGCGAGAUCAUGUUAUUUCCUUGCAGUGCCUUGUUUUUUACAUGUGCUACAAAGUCUUAAAAUGUGGAUUUUUUUCUAAUUUUCUUUUUGUUUUGUUUUGCAUGGUGUCUGUAAAUCCAGCUCAUAAAGCAUGAGUUUUAAGUUUUGGAUCAUUUGCUCAUCGCUGAAUGUGUAUGGAAGACAAUGUGGAUGUGAAAAGUAAUUUUCACUUUGACUUUAAGAAAAAUAACUCAAGUGCCUCUAUUCAUGUCCGGUGGGAAUUGCUCUAUUUAUUUAAGAACAAAGAAUGAAUCUAAAUGAUUUUCCAUACCAUAUUGGUAUAAAUAUGAGAUUGUUUUUCGUAAAAUCAAAUGUUUCCAUAAGCUUUUUACUGGUGUUUAUGAUGACACCAGGGUUUGGCUUUAAGAAAAUGACAAAUGUGUGAUUUUACGUGUCAAAUUUACAGUUGCAGUUUUUUUAUGAUUUGAGCAAAAAUGGGUUUGUCUGAAAUGCCUAAAAUGACCUAAAAAAUUUAACUCAUAGCAUGCAAUAACUGAAAGCUUCAGACCAAGAACUACUUGUGUCCAUUUAAAAAAUAAGAAGAAUAUAAAAGAAGUCAGAGUAUUUGCUGUUGCAUAUUCAUUUCUAGUGUGAAUGUCCUGCAUCACCUGAUGGUUCAGAGCCAACACUAAAGCCUGACAGAGGUCAGAACUCAUACUCCUUUCCACUAGCUUGAGCAUGGUCCUAUUGCUUUGUUAGUUAGGAAUUGGUUUAACUUGAAGACUUUUUAAGAACUGAACCUUUUCAUUGGCCAGAGCGAACUAGUAGAACCACAUUGUGAUGUCACAGGUCCGUAGAGGUGAACCAAUGGGAAUGUUCGAAAGAAGAGAGAAUUAGCAAUUGUUAUUCAGCUGGACAAUAUUUCAGAUAAGAUUGUAGCCAUUAAAACUUCAAGUCUGUGGCCAACAAAGCCUACUUGAACAUGAGCUCUGUGAUGUUUUUGAUGUACUUCACCUUAUAUCAGCAAGUCCUUUUUACUUGUACAUAAUGUUGUAAGUAGAUUGUCCACUCGACAGACCCAUACCGAAUAGAUAUCACAUCCACAUUAGCUGAACCUGAAGCAAGUUUAGCUCCAUCACAAAGUUCUACUGGUCUUGUUGGUCAUGACAGCCUCCCCCCAGCCCCUGAUGUGAUCGGUUCAUGGUUGUACAACAGCAAAGUGUCGGGUUUUCCUGGUUUGAGACUUAGGGCACAAGCUCUGAACCAAUCCUGGUGGAAAGGGGUAUAAGUGCAACCUUAAAAAUGAUUCUUCAUCUGAAAGCCUAAUAGUGUUAACAGCCCGGGCCAAAUCCACUUCCGACAAAAAUACUUUGACAGUUUUAUUAUUUUAUUGAUUUGAGUGUCCAAAUGAGCCAAUGAACUACUACAAAAGCCAACAAACUGUUUCUCUUAGACCUCAUUCAGUCAAAUUCCAUAGUUGAUCCACAGUGUUGCUCAGUCCAGUUCAAUGAUGUUCGAUGUUGUUAUGUUUUAUGGUGAAACAGUGAUGUUACUAUAUGGUUCUUGUUAAUUUCACAAUGGUCCUUAUUUUCAUGAUGCAGCAGUCCAAUAUACAUAUAUAACAAUAUGCUGUAAAAUGCCAAAACAUCAUUGGUUGCCAUGGGCAACAUGGAUUUCAUUUCUCUAUGCUAUAUGUCACAUGACACCUAUGCUAAAUGUUGAAUUCAUGCAACACUUGAUUUCUGAUGAUAUGCAGUGGCAGUGUGUGGGUAUAUUCUAUAACACUAUGGAGAUAGACUGCCUCAGCUGAGACACAUGGCCUUUUAUUCUGGCCACAUCUUUUUAAAUAUCCCGUUAGCUCCUGUUACAUUAUCCCACUUGUUAAUGGAAGGCAGCGAUGACAAAGAACCAAUGCUUCUGUUGUGAUUCCAAUAGAGAGCUAACCACCAUUUAUUUUUUGUCCACAGAUGGUUACAAGCCGAUAAUACAUUGAUAAUCCCCCCAGUAGUGGUGAGUGUCUCCAGUAUUUGUUUGCAUAUCAUAAAAUCACAGAUACACUUUGAUGGCUUAGAAAGCUGCCAAAACUGUCUCAUUUAGUAAAUGAACUAGGACUAUUUACCAGUAUAAUACAGGUUUAAUUUUCCCCCUCAUUUCCCUAUAAUCUCCCAGAAAGCUGCAGUUUUAUUCUGAGGUAUUUAUCAGAUGACUGUCUUCGGUUAUACUGUCAGACUCAUACUGUUUUGUUAAAAAUAGGCAUUUUUAAAGAUUCCAGUCUAUGUCAGUCCUAUGAAUAACUUGUUUGUUAAGAUUUAUAUCCAUACAUUUGACAGGAUUUACCUUUUGGGCCACUUAUGCUAAGCUCUAUAUCUCACACAUUGAGAAGCGCUGAUUAUAUGUUUUCUAUGCUAGAAUUAGAUUAAACGUUAGCUACAUGAAAGCAGUGGGGAUCUCUCUCGCCCUCUCCAGUGUUUUUUUUUUUUUUUUUUAAGAAAUUGUUAUAUUUUGGAACAUAGAAAUAUUUGAGGACAAAUUAAAUACAUUAGAUAUAAAAUUUUAUUUUUUUUUAUUAUUUUUAUAAUUUUAUGUUCCCAUGGUCCCAUCUUCCCAAGAUCCUAAGAUCCCAAAGUCCAAUGUUGAUAAGGUCCUAAGGUCCCAGGAUUCUAAGGAUAUACAAUCCUAAAUUUUUUGUUAUGUAUAUCCAUAUGUCUCCUAAAUUCACAGUCAAAAAUUACUAGGAUCUUAUGUUCCCAGGAUCCUAAAUACCCAAGGUUUUAUCUUCCCAGGUUACUAGGGAGUUAUGGUUGGAGCGCACAUAAUUCUAUUGGACCAUGUCCAGUUUUGUACUGUAAGCUCCCAGGGUCACAGGUUACCAGAGUCCUAUGUUUCCAGGGUCUCAAUUUACCAGGGUCUUACGUCCAGUCUAUGGUCCAGGUUCCUUUAAAAGUGUCACAUGUAGCAGAUGUCCUGAUAAAUCUAUUAAUAGUGCAUGAUUGUCUUGUCCGUAUGUUGCCUGUGGACCCAUAAGAACCCUGUGAUGACUCCAGUACUACCAGUGUGGAUGUAGUCAUUGAGAAAGGACAUAAGAUCUGACAAAAUGUCAUAUUUGGAUCAGAUACUGAGUACUAAGUUACAUACAAUAUAAAACAUCAUACACUAAACUAUGACACUAACAAAGACUGAAUGGAAUGAAAGUUUAAAAAUUGAGCUGUAGUUUUAGUUUCACCAGCUUUAGUACUGUUAGUUCCUCAUAGUCUUUCCCAAAAGCCUUGUUAAGACACGUCACCUUUCUUUUCUUUAGCUUUAUUUGUACUGCAAAAAUAGUUCUUUCUUGCUGAUUAAUUCCAAAAA